rnacentral:tRNA from 1 species
GCGCCUGUAGCUCAGUUGGAUAGAGCACCUGGCUACGAACUAGGGGGUCGCGGGUUCGAAUCCUACCAGGCGUACCA